rnacentral:rRNA from 1 species
AGUGAACGCUGGCGGUAGGCCUAACACAUGCAAGUCGAACGGCAGCACAGUAAGAGCUUGCUCUUACGGGUGGCGAGUGGCGGACGGGUGAGGAAUACAUCGGAAUCUACUUUUUCGUGGGGGAUAACGUAGGGAAACUUACGCUCAUACCGCAUACGACCUACGGGUGAAAGCAGGGGAUCUUCGGACCUUGCGCGAUUGAAUGAGCCGAUGUCGGAUUAGCUAGUUGGCGGGGUAAAGGCCCACCAAGGCGACGAUCCGUAGCUGGUCUGCGAGGAUGAUCAGCCACACUGGAACUGAGACACGGUCCAGACUCCUACGGGAGGCAGCAGUGGGGAAUAUUGGACAAUGGGCGCAAGCCUGAUCCAGCCAUACCGCGUGGGUGAAGAAGGCCUUCGGGUUGUAAAGCCCUUUUGUUGGGAAAGAAAAGCAGCAGGUUAAUACCCCGCUGUUCUGACGGUACCCAAAGAAUAAGCACCGGCUAACUUCGUG